AGAUCUUGCCUUCGGAUCUAAGGUAGAAGGUGUACCCAAUAGUUUCUUUUGGGUACCCUAUGAAGACGCAUUUUUCCGAUUUGGGUUCGAGCUUUUCAGGUUGAAGUUUCUUGACAUAAGCAUCGCAUCCCCAAACUUUUAGAAAUGACAGCUUAGGUUUCUUCCCAAACCAUAAUUCAUACGGUGUCGUCUCAACGGAUUUCGACGGAGCCCUAUUUAAAGUGAAUGCGGCAGUCUCUAAAGCAUAGCCCCAAAAAGAAAGCGGUAAAUCGGUAAGAGACAUCAUAGAUCGCACCAUAUCUAACAGAGUGCGAUUACGACGUUCGGACACACCAUUACGCUGAGGUGUUCCAGGCGGCGUGAGUUGUGAAAUUAUUCCACAUUUUCUUAAGUGUGCCCCAAACUCGUGACUCAAGUAUUCUCCUCCACGAUCUGAUCGUAGAAACUUGAUUUUCCUGUCACGUUGAUUUUCAACCUCACUCUGAAAUUCCUUGAACUUUUCAAAGGUUUCAGACUUGUGUUUCAUUAAGUAGAUAUACCCAUACCUACUUAAAUCAUCAGUGAGGGUGAGAACAUAACGAUAGCCACCGCGAGCCUCAACACUCAUUGGACCGCACACAUCGGUAUGUAUGAUUUCCAAUAAGUCGGUUGCUCGCUCCAUUGUUCCUGAGAACGGAGUCUUGGUCAUUUUACCCAUAAGGCAUGGUUCACACGUGUCAAAUGAUUCAUAAUCAAGAGACUCUAAAAGUCCAUCAGCAUGGAGCUUCUUCAUGCGUUUGACACCUAUGUGACCAAGGCGGCAGUGCCACAAGUAUGUGGGACUAUCAUUAUCAACUUUACUUCUUUUGGUACUCACAUUAUGAAUAUGUGUAGCAUCACGUUCGAGAUUCAUAAGGAAUAAACCAUUCACCAUAGGAGCAUGACCAUAAAACAUAUCUCUCAUAAAAAUGGAACAACCAUUAUUCUCAGAUUUAAAAGAGUAGCCAUCUCGAAUUAAACGAGAUCCCGAUACAAUGUUCAUGCUCAAAGCUGGCACUAAAUAACAAUUAUUAAGGUUUAAAACUAAUCCCGAAGGGAGAUGCAGAGGUAGCGUGCCGACGGCGAUCACAUUGACCUUGGAACCAUUCCCGACGCGCAUCGUCACCUCGUCCUUUGCCAGUUUCCGCUUAUUCCGCAGCCCCUGCUUUGAGUUACAAAUGUGAGCAACUACACCGGUAUCAAAUACCCAGGAGCCACUACGGGCACUAGUAAGGUACACAUCAAUUACAUGUAUAUCACAUAUACCUUUGGUUUUGCCGGCCUUCUUAUCCGCUAAGUACUUAGGGCAGUUCCGCUUCCAGUGACCGCUUCCCUUGCAAUAAAAGCACUCAGUCUCGGGCUUGGGUCCAUUCUUUGGCUUCUUCCCGGCAGCUUGCUUGCUGGGCGCGGCAACCCCCUUGCCGUCCUUCUUGAAGUUCUUUUUACCCUUGCCUUUCUUGAACUUAGUGGUUUUAUUGACCAUCAACACUUGAUGUUCUUUCCUGACUUCUACCUCUGCUGAUUUCAGCAUAGCAAAUACUUCAGGAAUGGUCUUUUCCAUCCCCUGCAUAUUGAAGUUCAUCACAAAGCUCUUGUAGCUUGGUGGAAGCGACUGGAGGAUUCUGUCAAUGACCGCAUCAUCCGGGAGAUUAACUCCCAGCUGAGUCAAGCGGUUAUGCAACCCAGACAUAGUGAGUAUGUGCUCACUGACAGAACUGUUUUCCUCCAUCUUACAGCUGAAGAAUUUGUCGGAGACUUCAUAUCUCUCGACCCGGGCAUGAGCUUGGAAAACCAUUUUCAGCUCUUCGAACAUCUCAUAUGCUCCAUGUCUCUCAAAACACUUUUGGAGCCCCGGCUCUAGGCUGUAAAGCAUGCCGCACUGAACGAGGGAGUAGUCAUCGGAACGUGCCUGCCAAGCGUUCAUAACGUCUUGUUCCGCAGGGAGAACGGGUGCGUCACCAAGCGGUGCUUGUAGGACAUAAUCUUUCUUGGCAGCUAUGAGGAUGAUCCUCAGGUUCCGAACCCAGUCCGUAUAGUUGCUGCCAUCGUCUUUCAGCUUAGUUUUCUCUAGGAACGCGUUGAAGUUGAGGACUACGUUGGCCAUUUGAUCUACAAGACAUAUUGCAAAGAUUUUAGACUAAGUUCAUGAUAAUUAAGUUCAACUAAUCAAAUUAUUAGUGAACUCCCACUUAGAUUAGACAUCCCUCUAGUCAUCUAAGUAUUACAUGAUCCGAGUUAAACUAGACCGUGUCUGAUCAUCACGUGAGACGGACUAGUCAACAUCGGUGAACAUCUUCAUGUUGAUCGUAUCUUCUAUACGACUCAUGCUCGAUCUUUCGGUCUUCUGUGUUCCGAGGCCAUGUCUGUACAUGCUAGGCUCGUCAAGUCAACCUAAGUGUUUGCAUGUGUAAAUCUGUCUUACACCCGUUGUAUGUGAACGUCUGAAUAAAACACCCGAUCAUCACGUGGUGUUUUGAAACAGCGAACUGUCGCAACGGUGCACAGUUAGGGGGAACACUUCUUGAAAUUAUUGUGAGGGAUCAUCUUAUUUACUACCGUCGUUCUAAGUAAACAAGAUGCAAAACAUGAUAAACAUCACAUGCAAUCAAAUAAUAAACGUGACAUGAUAUGGCCAAUAUCACAUAGCUCCUUUGAUCUCCAUCUUGGGGCUCCAUGAUCAUCUUGUCACCGGCUUGACACCAUGAUCUCCAUCAUCAUGAUCUCCAUCAUCGUGUCUCCAUGAAGUUGCUCGCCAACUAUUACUUCUACUACUAUGGCUAACGCGUUUAGCAAUAAAGUAAAGUAAUUUACAUGGCGUUUCUUGAUGACACGCAGGUCAUAUAAAAGAAUAAAGACAACUCCUAUGGCUCCUGCCGGUUGUCAUACUCAUCGACAUGCAAGUCGUGAAUCCUAUUACAAUAGCAUGAACAUCUCAUACAUCACAUAUAGAUCAUUCAUCAUUCAUCACAACUUUGGCCAUAUCGUAUCACAAACCACUUGCUGCAAAAACAAGUUAGACGUCCUCUAAUUGUUGUUGCAAGUUUUACGUGGCUGAAUUAGGGUUCUAGCAAGAACGUUUUCUUACCUACGUUAAAGCCACAACGUGAUUUGUCAACUUCUAUUUACCCUUCAUAAGGACCCUGUUCAUCGAUUCCGCUCCAACUAAAGUAGGAGAGACAGACACCCGCCAGCCACCUUAUGCAACUAGUGCAUGUUAGUCGGUGGAACCGGUCUCACGUAAGCGUACGUGUAAGGUUGGUCCGGGCCGCUUCAUCCCACAAUACCGCUGAAGCAAGAAAGGACUAGUAACGGCAAGAAAGUUGACAAAUCUACGCCCACAACAAAUUGUGUUCUACUCGCGCAAGAAGAACUACGCAUAGACCUAGCUCUGAUACCACUGUUGGGGAACGUUGCAGAAAACAAAAUUUUUCCUACUCGUUUCACCAAGAUCAUCUAGGAGUUCAUCUAGCAAUGAGUCAUUGGAUGCAUCUACGUACCUUGUAGAUCGCGAGCGGAAGCGUUCAAAGAACGGGGAUGAUGUAGUCGAACACGACGUGAUUCGAAUCACCGGAGAUCCUAGCACCGAACGGACGGCACCUCCGCGUUCAACACACGUACGGAACAGACACGUCUCCUCCUUCUUGAUCCAGCAAGGGAGGAAGGAGAGGUUGAGGGAGAUGGCACCAGCAGCAGCACGACGGCGUGGUGUUGAUGGAGCUGCAGUACUCCAGCAGAGCUUCGCUAAGCACUAUGGAGGUUGAGGAGGUGUUGGGGAGGGAGAAGGAGGCAACCAAAGGCCAAGGACUCAAGGUAUGAAGUCCCUCCUCUCCCCCACUAUAUAUAGGGGUGCCAAGGGGGGUGGCCGGCCCUAGGAGAUCCAAUCUCCUAGGGGGUGCGGCGGCCUAGGGGGGUUUCCCUCCCCCCCAAGGCACCUAGGAGGUGCCUUCCACUAGUAGGACUCCUCCCCCUUGGAAACCCUAGGCGCAUGGGCCUUGUGGGGCUGGUGCCCUUGGCCCAAGCAGGCCAAGGCGCACCCCCUACAGCCCAUGUGGCCCCCGGGGAUGGGUGGCCCCACCCGGUGGGCCCCCGGGACCCCUCCGGUGGUCCCGGUACAAUACCGAUAACCCCGAAACUUGUCCCGAUGCCCGAAACAGGACUUCCCAUAUAUAAAUCUUUACCUCCGGACCAUUCCGGAACUCCUCGUGAUGUCCGGGAUCUCAUCCGGGACUCCGAACAACAUUCGGGUUACUGCAUAUACAUAUCCCUACAACCCUAGCGUAACCGAACCUUAAGUGUGUAGACCCUACGGGUUCGGGAGACAAGCAGACAUGACCGAGACGACUCUCCGGUCAAUAACCAACAGCAGGAUCUGGAUACCCAUGUUGGCUCCCACAUGCUCCACGAUGAUCUCAUCGGAUGAACCACGAUGUCGAGGAUUCUAUCAACCCCGUACGCUAUUCCCUUUGUCUAUCGAUAUGUUACUUGCCCGAGAUUCGAUCGUCGGUAUCCCAAUACCUCGUUCAAUCUCGUUACCGGCAAGUCACUUUACUCGUACCGUAAUGCAUGAUCCCGUGACCAGACACUUGGUCACUCUGAGCUCAUUAUGAUGAUGCAUUACCGAGUGGGCCCAGUGAUACCUCUCCGUCAUACGGAGUGACAAAUCCCAGUCUUGAUCCAUGUCACCCAACAGACACUUUCGGAGAUACCCGUAGUCUACCUUUAUAGUCACCCAGUUACGUUGUGACGUUUGGCAUACCCAAAGCACUCCUACGGUAUCCGGGAGUUACACGAUCUCAUGGUCUAAGGAAAAGAUACUUUGACAUUGCAAAACUCUAGCAAACGAACUAUACGAUCUUGUGCUAUGUUUAGGAUUGGGUCUCGUCCAUCACAUCAUUCUCCUAAUGAUGUGAUCUCGUUAUCAAUGACAUCGAGUGUCCAUAGUCAGGAAACCAUGACUAUCUGUUGAUCAACGAGCUAGUCUACUAGAGGCUUACUAGGGACAUGUUGAUGUCUAUUAUUCACACAUGUAUUACGAUUUCCAGAUAACACAAUUAUAGCAUGAAUAAAGACAAUUAUCAUGAACAAGGAAAUAUAAUAAUAAUGCUUUUAUUAUUGCCUCUAGGGCAUAUUUCCAACACCUCCUGCCCGAUCACCUUUGAUCGAAUAGACCAUCCCACUAGCAUCCGUCAUGGAAGAUUCACCGCAUUGGUUCUCGACCCAAUUAUUGACGGAUUUCAUCUCACUAGAGUCCUUAUGGACGGCGGCAGUAGCCUGAACCUGCUUUACCAGGAUAUAGUGCGGAAAAUGGGCAUAGAUCCCUCGAGGAUUAAGCCCACCAAAACGACCUUUAAAGGCGUAAUACCAGGUGUAGAGGCCAGCUGCAUAGGCUCAGUCACACUUGAAGUGGUCUUCGGAUCUCCGGAUAAUUUCCGAAGCGAGGAGUUAAUCUUCAACAUAGUCCCGUUCCGCAGUGGUUAUCAUGCACUGCUCGGGCGAACCACAUUUGCCAAGUUCAAUGCGGUCCCGCACUACGCAUACCUUAAGCUCAAGAUGCCAGGCCCUCGAGGAGUAAUUACGGUCAAUGGAAACACCGAACGCUCCCUCCGUACGGAGGAGCACACGGCGGCCCUCGCAUCGGAAGUACAAAGAAGCCUUUCCAGACAGUUCUCCAGUCCGGCCAUUCAACGACUGGACACCGUCAAGCGCGCCCGGAGUAACCUACAACAAGACCGCCUGGCACGUUUCGAGCAGGCAUAGCAAUUCGGCCCCGACCCCAACCCUCGCAAAAAGACGACGCCAGUACUUCGCGUCCAUAACUAUGCUCUGGAGAUACCCUGGGCAUAGGGGGAGGGGCACCAUCACGGCACGCCCAAAACACGGCUUAAACCGCACCAGGGGCUGCCGAUUUUUUACUUUUCUCUUACUUUCAGGACUCUACUCUCCAGAAGGACUGUUCGGCAGUUCAACUACCGCACAAACGAUGCAAGAACCAGGAAGCAGACAAGCCAUGCCGCAUUAUGGAAAUCACAGGUGGUCUCUAUCACGAGCAGUAUACCUGUUUCGCAUACUAUUCCGCAGCUUGCCCCUGGAGCAGACAUGUUAAAUAGUCCAACUUUUCGUUUAUCACAUUACUUGUAUCAUUCUUCUUUGAUCGCAUCCAUUUUAAUGAACAAUGCAUAGCUUUUGUUUAUUUUUUGCAUUACCUUUUUUUUCCUUAAUGACAUGUUGCACCCGUACACCUUGGUACGGCCAAAAUACGCCAGGGGCUUCAGUACCCCUCAACAUGGUGUAAGAAGUCCGAACACUUUCACAAGUGCGGCACCCCGAACUUAUAGCAUUAUAUGCAUCGGCUUCGAAUCAUGUCUUGGGUCAAUAGUUGGGUUUGCCCGGCUCCUAUGUUUUGGUGCCUUAUGUUCCGCUAUAUCGGCUAAGGUAGCACUAGGAGAACCACUGCGAUUGUGCCCCAGUUGAGCUGGGCCAAGCACCUCAGUGGAGAAAGCUAAAACUGACCGUCAUGAUGAGGCGAGAGCUGGUCGUUGUUCGAGAGGUCUUUUCGAGUCCUUAAAGACUUAUGCCGCUUAGGGCGAGGAGUCGGCUCUGUCCGGCCAAGGCGUGGAUAGCGCCCCGAACUCGGUCUUCCGAAUACUAGGGGCUUCGCCGAAAUUUAAAAUUAUAGAAUUCUAUGGCUAAGUGAGAGUGUUCACGCAUUAUAGUCUGAUUGCCUCGUUCGUUGGGCUGAGCGCCUCCCUCGAAGGACCCAAAUAUGGGAAAAAGAGCGCCCAGGUUUAUCCCCGAACACCCCAGCACUAGUGGCAAGGGGGCAGAAGCCGACGACUCGCCAUCUCUCAGUAUUGAUAAAUAGCUGCACAGAAGGUAAUAUUUUAAAUUCAAGCAGCAUUGCUUAGCGCAUAUGAACGAGUUUUCAGCGCACAGGAUAACACGAGCGGGUUUUAUUCAAAAAAUACAUCCUUGGUACAUUCAUCCGCAACAAGGCGGGAACCCUUCAGAACAUCCUUAUAAUAAUUCUCGGGCUUGCGAUGCUCUUUCCCCGGCGGUGGCCCGUCCUUCACAAGCUUCUCCGCAUCCAGCUUGCCCCAGUGCACCUUAGCACGGGCAAGGGCCCUACGAGCACCUUCGAUGCAGAUGGAGCGCUCGAUGUCUUCAAGCCUCGGACAGGCCUCGACCAGCCGCUGCACCAGCCCGAAAUAGCUCCCAGGCAGGGCCUCUCCAGGCCACGGCCAAACUAGGAGGCCCUUCAUGGCCUGUUCGGCCACCUUGUGGAGCUCGACCAGUUGCUUCAGCUGGUCGCUCAGGGGCACGGGGUGUCCGGCCUCAGCGUACUGCGACCAGAACACCUUCUCCGUCGAGCUGCCCUCCUCGGCUCGAUAGAAUUCGGCGGCAUCAGAUACACUCCGGGGAAGAUCUGCGGACGCUCCUGGAGAGCUCCGGAUUCGGGUAAGUAACAGGUAACUCACGUUUAUGUGUUUGCUUUGCAUAAAGAAUGCCUUACCCGCCGCAAUCUUCUUCACCUCAUCCAACUCCUGGAGGGUCCUCUGGGAAUCGGCCUUGGCAGACUUGGCAUUCUCUAUAGCUGCCGCGAGCUCGGAAGCUCGCGUCUUCGAGUCAAGCUCCAAACUCUCAUGUUUCUUCAUGAGAACCUGGAGCUCUUGCCGCACCUUCCCAACCUCGGCCUCGUACCUCUCCCACUCUGUGCGCUCCACGGCCGCACUCUUCUCGGCCUCAAGCAAUGCUUGCUUAAGGGUCGCCACCUCAGACGUGGCCCCUACAAUAGCCAUGUCAAUCCUGUCAUUUUUUGCAAUUGCACCUUUUUUAUAUACAUAUUCAAACAGGGUAUUUCUUACCUUCCUUCUCCUCGAGCUACUUCUUGGCACGCCCGAGCUCUUGCUCGGACUUCUCGAGACUCUGCUUCAGCACGUCAACUUCUGCAGUCAGUGCGGCAGACGCUAGCAGAGAAGCCUGCAUACGCAUAUUGACUCCUUUUGUUAGACUCCUGCGAAUUCUUUGAUCCUCUAUUCGGCUUUUCUUCCUGAAUGCCCAACAGAGCAUCAGGGGCUACUGUCUAUGCGGUAACAUUAUUUUAACAUUCUUUACGUACCUCAAAGCCUGUUAAAAGGCUUGUACAAGCUUCAGUCAGUCCGCUUUUGCCGGACUGAACCUUCUGGAUCACCGCACUCAUAAUAGUGCGGUGCCCCUCGUCGAUGGAGGCACCUUGGAGCGCCUCCAACAUAUUGUCCGGCGCCUCCGGUUGGACUGAGGUCACCGGCACGGCAGGCUUGCUCCUCUUGGAAGGAGGUCGCCCGCCGGACUCUGGAACCCUUGAAGAUUCCGUAGUUGUGUCCGGCCUUAAGCCGGAAUUGGAGCCCUGGGGGUUUCAUCCCCUUUACUCCUGGAGUCCGGGAGGUCGCAUUGCGGCGCCUCCAGGACCACCUCCUCCUGGCUUGGAACCUAUUGGGACAACACUUCGGUGUCGUCCACAGGGCGGGGGGAUGAAGCCGUCGGAAGCGAGUUUACCUCCAACGGAUCCAGUGAGCCGCUCGACGAUGUGUCGAGCCGGUCUUUAGGUUGGUUGCAUAAACACAUUCGACGUAAGGGAAAGUUGUGCAAUAAACAAAUACUAUGAGUCGCUCCGGUAUCCGGAUACUUACGAUUUCGCCAGGGGCUUGGCCCUGGGCUGCCACUCCUCUUCGUUGUCGUCGACGCCGGUGGAGCAGUCCGGAGGAAGGGUUUUCCCCUUCUUGGACCCUCCGGCCUCCUUAGAGAGGGAGGCCUUCCUUUUCUUCUCUCCUCCCGCUGGAGGGGAGAGGUCUCUUCUUAUUCCUCCUCGUCUUCACGAGAGGAAGGCGCUUCGGGACCGUCGGAUGACGAGUCCGACACCUCCUGGCGCCGGGCACUCUUUCGAGUCCCCGUGGCCCUUUUCGGGGCCUUCUUCUCCGGCACCACAUAGGGCGCCGGAACCAGCAGCUUCGCCAAGCGAGCGUUCGCUGGGCCUUCGGGAAAAGGAGCCGGACAGUUGAUCUGUCCGGACGUCACCUCCCAAUCCUGUCAAAGAUAAGGGAGCUUAGAUCCCGCAUAGAGUCAAACUGUGAAAAACUAAUACCUUGUAAAAAGACGAAAACAGCUUACCGCCAGAGCGCGGUGCUGAGCACUGAAUCCGCAAUCCUCGGCAGCGGAUGCGGGAGCCUCGGCGCCCUUGAAAAGCAUCCUCCAGGCAUCUUCGUACGUCGUGUCGAAGAGCCUGUUAAGAGUUUGAUGCUGCGCCGGGUCGAACUCCCAAAGGUUGAAGGCCCGUCGUUGACACGGGAGGAUCAGGCGGAUGAGCAUAACCUGGACUACGUUGACAAGCUUGAGCUUCUUGUCCACCAGGGUUUGGAUACAUGUUUGGAGUCCGGUCAGCUCUCCUUUUUUACCCCAUGACAGGCCGGUCUCCUUCCAGGAGGUGAGCCGCGUAGGGGGUCCGGACCGUAACUCGGGGGCUGCGACCCAUUCGGGGUCGCACGGCUCGGUGAUGUAGAACCACCCCGACUGCCACCCCUUCAGGGUCUCCACAAAGGAGCCCUCGAGCCAUAGGACGUUGGCCAUCUUGCCAACCAUGGCGCCGCCGCACUCCGCCUGGCUGCCAUGCACCACCUUCGGCUUGACGUUGAAGGUCUUUAGCCAUAAGCCGAAAUGGGGGCGGAUGCGGAGGAAAGCCUCACAAACGAUGAUAAACGCCGAGAUGUUGAGGACGAAGUUCAGGGCCAGAUCGUGGAAAUCCAGGCCGUGGUAGAACAUGAGCCCCCGGACAAAUGGAUGCAGAGGGAAGCCCAGUCCGCGGAGGAAAUGGGGGCGAAAUACCACCCUCUCAUGAGGCCUAGGAGUGCGGAUGAGCUGCCCCUUUUCGGGGAGUCGGUGCGCGAUGUCGCUGGCCAGAUAUCCGGUCUUCCUCAGCUUUUUUAUGUGUCCCUCCAUGACGGAGGAGACCAUCCACUUGCCUCCCGCUCCGGACAUGACUGGAGAAGGUCGAGGUGGUAGUGCGGACUUGGGCGUUGGAGCUCGAGUGCGCAAGAAUGGAUAGGCAGAGGAGGAAGAAGGCGUGGGUGAAAAGGUGGGUCCUUAUCCCCUUAUAUGGGCGUACGCGAUUAUGUGUCCCCACCAGCCUAAUAAAACUUGCUUAUCUCCAAGUGAUGUAAUUAAAGGCACGGUUGGGUUACCCACGCCCGUAUUGAUGAGAAUCCCGAAAUGAGGGGGGCACGAUCUCUGCUUCAACAAGACGUGCCAAGGAAACUGCCUCGCACAACAUGCUGAGGUGGGAUAAUUAAAUGGAUAAAGGCUUGGCCGUGGUGUGUCGCACCAUGGAAUACGUCAGCAGAUUAGAUUUGUGUCAAUAUUAUUAUCCUCUCUAUGGCAAUAUGUGGAGACUUAUUUUGCAGAGCCAGACACUAUCUUUGUGUUCAAGAUCUUCUAUAAAGUAUUUGGAGGAGGAACCCGCCUUGCAAUGCCGAAGACAAUUUGCGCACCGGACUCGUCGUCAUUGAAGCCUGGUUCAGGGGCUACUGAGGGAGUCCUGGAUUAGGGGGUGUUCGGAUAGCCGAACUAUACCUUCAAGCCGGACUCCUGGACUAUGAAGAUACAAGAUUGAAGACUCCGUCCCGUGUCCGGAAGGGACUUUCCUUGGCGUGGAAGGCAAGCUUGGCGAUACGGAUGUUCAGAUCUCCUACCAUUGUAACCAACUCUAUGUAACCCUAACCCUAUCUGGUGUCUAUAUAAACCGGAGGGUUUUAGUCCGUAGACAACAUACACAUCAACAAUCACACCAUAGGCUAGCUUCUAGGGUUUAGCCUCUCUGAUCUCGUGGUAGAUCAACUCUUUUAAUACCCAUACCAUCAAUAUUAAUCAAGCAGGACGUAGUGUUUUACCUCCAUCGAGAGGGCCCAAACCUGGGUAAAACUUCGUGUCCCCUGCCUCCUGUUACCAUCCGGCCUAGACGCACAGUUCGGGACCCCCUACCCGAGAUCCGCCGGUUUUGACACCGACACCCCUCUUGAGUAAAAGUAAAUCCCUUUUGUGGUGGUGGAACUCCCAAUAUUCCCUCUAUUAUUUCAUAGGCAGCAUUAGCAUCAAUCUCAACAAAAUUCCCUUUCGCGGAAAAAUCCAAAAGUUGUCUAUGAUGCAUGGUUAAACCUAUGUAAAAAUUAUUAAGUAAAUUUUUUGCAUCCCCUUUUAUGGAGCAAACAAGGUAGGAUCCCAUUAACAUAUACCAAGCAUCCUUAAGAUUUUCUCCUUGUUUUUGCUUGAAGUGAAGAACUUCAAAAUUCGGUGACAAAGGAGGGACAGUUAUGCAGGUGAUGAUGACAAGAUAACCAAGACAAAAAGGCAAAUGGAUUUUUUUUGUAUUUUUGUAAAAACUUUUAGAAGUGGGGGAGAUCAAAACGAGAGGCAAAUGACAAAUAAAGUAAAUGCAAGGAGAUGAAAGUUUAUGCGUAGGUACUUGAUAGAUGUUGAUGAUGUCUCCCUGGCAAUGACACCAGAAAUUCUUCCUGCUACUUGUGAGCUGCGUUGGGAUUUCCUCGAAGAGGAGAAGAUGAUGCAGUACAGUAGAGGUAAGUAUUUCACUCAAUUAUGAAACCAAGGUUAUCAAUACAGUAGGAGAACCAAGCAACACUAUGUAAACAACACCGGCACACAAACAACAAAUACUUGCAACCCAGUGCAUAGAGGGGUUGUCAAUCCCUCAAUGGUUAUGAACAAGAUUAAAUUGUAUAGGUUUUGAUAAAUAGAUUUAACAUAAAUACAAAAUAAAUAAAAUAAACUAAAAUUACAGCAAGGUAGUUUUGGUUUUAAUAUAUGAUAGAAAAUAAACCUGGGGGCCAUAGUGUUCACUAGAGUCUUCUCUUGAGUAAAUAGCAUACAGUGGGUAAACAAAUUUUUGUUGGGCAAUUGACAGAAAAGCAAAUAAUUAUGAUGAUAUCCAAGGCAAUGAUCAUGUAUAUAGGCAUCACCUCCAAGAUUCAUAGACCGACUCCUGCCUGCAUCUACUAUUAUUACUCCACACAUCGACCGCUAUCCAGCAUGCCUCUAGUGUAUUAAGUUCAUGGAAAAAUGGAGUGAUGCUUUAAGCAAGAUGACAUGAUGGAGACAAGAUAAACUCACGUAUGAAAUAAGUCCCAUAUUGUUACCCUUAAUAGCAAUGAUACAUGCAUGUCACGUCUCCUUCUGUCACUCAGAUUGAGCACCGCAAGAUCGAACCCAUUAUAAAGCACCUCUUCCCAUGGCAAGAUAAAUCAAUCUAGUUGGCCAAACAAAACCAAUAAACAAGAGAAUAAAUACGAGGCUAUAAUAUUCAUGCAUAAUAGAGUUCGGAGAAAACCCAAACAAUAUUCAUGGAUAGAUCUGAUCAUAAACUCACAAUUCAUCGAUCCCAACAAACACACCACAAAAAGUCAUUUCGUCAAAUAGAUCUCCAAGAACAUCGAGGAGAACAUUGUAUUGAAGAUCAAAAAGAGAGAAGAAGCCAUCUAGCUACUAACUACAGACUUGUAGGUCUAUGGUAAACUACUCACGCAUCAUCGGAGGGGCAGCAAGGAUGAUGAAGAAAAUGCCUCUAGAUUGGAUCUCAUGGUUCUAGAACUUGUGACGACGGACAAAGUAUUUUGUGGACUCCCCUAAGGGUUUUCGGAUUUUAGAGUAUUUAUAGAGGCGGAGGUAGGUCAAAACGAUGCUCGUGGGCCCCAUUACCCACCAAGGCGCGCCCUGGUACCUAGUGGGCCCCUCUCCCACCUUCUGGUUCCCUCCCGAAGCUUCCAGUGUCUCUUAUCGCCAGAAAAAAUAUCCAAAAAGUUUUGUAGCGUUUGGACUUCAUUUGGAACUGAUAUUCUGCAAAGUAAAAAACAUGCAAAAAUUAGAAACUGGCAUUGUGCACUAAGUUAAUAGGUUAUUCCCAAAAAAUGAUAUAAGGUUGCUUGUAAAUUUAUAUAAAACAUCCAAGAUUUAUAAUAUAAUAGAAUGGAACAAUAAAAAAUUAUAGAUACAUUGGAGACGUAUCAGUAGUGUGGUCACGUCGGCCACCCCCACACCCGCUACCAGCAUUGACCUCAAUGCCGUGCCUGGGUCUGGCGCUGGCCAGUCGGCCCCCGGGAUGCAAAAGAAUCAGACUCGUGUGAUCCUUACGGCCAACCUUACCGACACCUGCAACCUAUUCGAGGAAACGUCGGUGCAUGAUGAGAUGGCUACUACCAAGAUUUCAUGGAAAAUAUCAUCUUCGAGGGUCUGGCCAUGACUACGAUGCCGACGAGACCCAAAUCCAAGACGGUCGCGACCAAGAUGGAGGUGCCGAAGACUUCGACGACCAUGACAACCAAGAAGCCACCGACGUACAAGGCGAGCAAUGGCAAGAAAGCAUUCAGAUGGGAUCAUACACGAAAGACAAGUUGAUUUGCGAGGGUUGGAAGGAAAUAGGCAAGAUCCCAAGACCCACGCCGAGGAAAAAGGAGUUGUUUUUUGGGGCAGAGUUCAUGUAUACUUCCAUGAACGUAGGAUGUCCUCGCCCUACAAGUUUUCGAGCAAACGUGGCAUCGGUUCAAUCCAAAAGAGGUGGGUGUCGGUGUAAAAACCAGAAGAUCUCGGAUAGGGGGUCCCGAAUUGUUCGUCUAAGGAUCGAUGGUAACAGGAGACACGGGACAUGAUGUUUACCCAGGUUCGGGCCCUUUUGAUGGAGGUAAUACCCUACGUCCUGCUUGAUUCACUUUGAUGAGUAUGGGGGUUACAAGAGUUGAUCUACCACGAGAUCGUAAUGGAUAAACCCUAGAUGUCUAGCCUAUAUGAUUAUGAUUGUGAUUGCCUCUACGGACUAAACUCUCCGGUUUAUAUAGACACCGGAGGGGACUAGGGUUUGUACAGAGCCGGUUUACAGAAAAGGAAUCUUCAUAUCUGUACGCCAAGCUUGCCUUCCACUCCAAGGAGAGUCCCAUCCAAACAUGGGGAAAAGUCUUCCGUCUUGUAUCUCCGUGGCCCACUAGUCCGGCCCAUAUCACAUAGCCCGGGCAGCCGAGGACCCCAUAAUCCUAGACUCCUUCAGUAGCCCCUGAACCAGUCUUCAAUGACGAUGUGUCCGGCGCGCAGAUUGUCUUCAGCAUUGCAAGGCAGGUUCCUCCUCCGAAUACUUCAAAGCAGUUGAUCGUUGGUACUAUAUCUGGCUCUGUACAACAGCCAUACCUCUGAAUCACAAGGGCAGAAUACAGAUAAGUUCUAUCUUCUGAAGAUUUCACUAGUGAGACGUUACGUCCGGCCAUUUUAUUAUUUCAAACCGUUUUUCAGCCUCCCGUUUCACGUUUCAAGACGCAACCACCGACGACAUAUCUUGUGAAAGCAGAGAUCGUGCCCCCUUAUUACGAGAUUCUCAUCAAUACGGGUUUGGGAAACCCAACCGUGCUGCUUCGCACGACCCCUUGGAAAUAGGCGAGCUUUAAGGCUCAUGGGGGACAUAUGAUAUUCACUGCCUUUAUAAGGAGAUAAGAUUCCCCCCCCUUUUUACCCCAUGCCUUCCCCUUCCUCAGCCCAUCCAUCCUCAAGCUCUAGCGCCCAAGCUUCAAUCCUAUCCGUUCCCAGAAAGUACUCCAGCCAUGUCCGGAUCCGGAGCGCAGGGCAAGUGGAUGGCUUCCUCCGUCAUGGAGGAAAACAUUAAGGAACUCCGGGAAGCGGGGUAUCUGGCCAAGGAGAUCACCCACCGGCUCCCAACCAAAAAACAGAUCAUCCCCACUCCAAAGCCCGGUGAGAGGGUAGUGUUUAUCCCUCAUUUUCUUUGCGGACUGGGGUUUCCCCUUCAUCCGUUCAUCCACGGCCUCAUGUUUUACUAUGGGCUAUAUUUCCAUGAUCUAGCCCCAAAUUCUUUCCUCAACAUUUCGGCAUUUAUCAUCGUAUGCGAGGCAUUCCUCCGCAUUUCCCCCCACUUCGGCCUAUGGCUCAAGGUCUUUAAUGUGAAGCCGAAAGUGGUGGAUGGCCAGCACGCAGAUUGUGGUGGCACUAUGGUGAGCAAACUGCCCAACGUCACUUGGCCCCAGGGCACCUUCGUGGAGACCGUGAAGGGAUGGCAACAGGGGUGGUUCUAUGUCACAGAGCCCCGUGACUCCACAUGGGAUGCUCCUGCGGAGUUCAAGUCCGGACCCCCAAUGCGGCUGGCAUCCUGGCUCAACAAGGGCCUGGACUGGGCAUCGUCUGACGAGGUAAUGGUGCUGCAUAAGCGAAUCAAGUGCAUGGUAGAUAAAAAUACCAGCCUUGCCAGCGUGAUCCAGGUGAUGCUCUUCCGUCGGAUUCUCCCCUGUCAGGUGCAUAAAGAGCCCAUGUGGAAGUUCAACCUGGCCGGUCCCCGGACCCUGCAGCGGUUCUUUGGCACAAAGCACGACGACAUGUGGAAACUGCUCUUCAAGACCCGGAAGUCAUGGCCAGAGACAAUCGAAGACCUCCGCUAUGACAGCACCCGUGCUGCAACCCCCAUAAGUUCUUUGAUAACCUUACUUUAUGAGUCCAAGGAGCACACUAAACUCUCUAUUUUCUUUUGCAGGGAUGGAGAAAGAAAGCGGACCGGAUUCACUGUCCGGCUCCACUGCCCGAAGACCCAACUAUUCCUCUAUUGACAAGGAUGUUGGUCCCGGCGCCGUACUAGGCACCGAAAAAGAAAGCCAAGGAGAAGGCCAAGGAGGCCAAAAGCGGCCUCCGCUGUAAGGGUGCUUCAAACGUAGUGUUCGAGGACACCAGAACCCUCUGCUCCCCUGACGAAGAGGAAGGGGAGGAGGAAGAGAGCACCUCCCCCCUAAGGGGGAGAAGAAGAAAAGGGCAGCCUCCACCGAUCUAGAGGCAGAGGCGUCCAAGAAAGGGAGGACGUCCCUUAUGGAUGACUCUGAAUCGGACGCCGAUGAGUGGCACCCCAAGCCGAAGCCCCUGGCCAGAUCAUAAGUACUCAAAGGUAUAUAUAUAUAUAUGUCCGGCUUUUCUGGCUUAUAGUUGUAAUGCAUUUAAAUUGUAUGCUGCAGUCCGGUUAAGGUCCUUCCCCAGCGAUCCUCCUCUUCCGAGAAUUCGCUAUGUCCGAACAUGAUAGAGAGCGAAUCGCCUCCACCAGCUUCCUCCCCCACUGCCACGGACAACACCGAGGUGUCAUCCCAAAGGACCCUUCCAGAACAAGGAGAGGUGUCGGAGGCUGCCAAGGCGGUGCCGAAGGGUGACACCUCGGCUGUCGAAAACAUGGGGGAACCGACCCCCAUGGAGACUGGAGACGGGGGCCAUGUCCAGUUUGGCCCCCAUCCAAAUGUCAUUCUGGAAACCCACACGGUUUUGGAGACAGAGGAGCAACCCUCUUUACCAGAAGGGGGCGCGCCUACAACACUGGCAUCCUCUGUCAAUGCGGAGGCACGGACACUCUGAUGACAGCGCUUCAGAACGCCAUCAUUGUGGAAGAACAUUGUACCCUUAUGGGUACGGUAAUUGAAAAGGUUCGGUUCACGAAAAGUGGACUGAGCGAAGCCUACACUAGCCUUUUAAGAGGCUUUGAGGUAUGUGCUUUAUAGUGUCUUUUAGCUGUAUAAAAAUAAUGCUUGUGUAUAGAUAGUAGCCCCUGAGACUCUGUUCAGUGUUCGGAAAGAAAACCGAACAAAGGAUCUAAUAACUCACGCAGGAGGUUAACAUACAUAUCUAUUUGAACAAAUAGGCUGCAAAAUAGGCGUCAGCUGCCCAUGCCGCCGAAGCAUCCGAGCUAAGGCGGAAGUUAGAAGAAAAACAAGGUAUGUGAUACCGAACACACGUCUGAAAUGGUGUCAGCUCUUAUGUGUUAUCUGAAUGAGUUUCAUAAUUAUGUUUGUAGCUGACACGUCUAAGGUUGAGGCCCUCAAGAGUGCGUUGGCCAAGGCCAGGAAGGAGGUGGAGGAGGAGCGAGCCUCCCGCCUUAAACAUGAAUCGCGAGUGGAGGAAGUCCAGCAAGAGCUCAAGGAUGCCAUAGGCAAAUGCGAGUCCUUAGAGCGUAAGAGUUCGGAGCAAAAUUCCAAACUUGCUAAGGCACUCCAAAGCACACAGGGAGCCCGAGCCGAAGCCCAAAGCGCUAUCUGGGAGAUCCAAGAGGCAAAGCAAAUUGCGGCGGGUAAGGCCUUUAACAUGCAGAGCAAAUUUGUGAAGAAAAGGUAUAUCUUUCUAACCCGGAUUUGGAGUUCUCCAGGAGUGUUUGCGGACCUGCCCCGGAGUGUUGUUGAUGCCGCGGAGUUCUUCCGGGCCAAAGAGGGGAGCUCAAUGGAGAAGUUGUUCUGGUCGCAGUACCUUGCGCCAGAGCAUCCUGUGCCCCUCAGCGAUCAGCUGAAGCAAUGGACCAAACUGCAUAGGGUGGCUGAAUUGGCCAUGAGGGAUUUGAUAACCCAUCUUUGGCCCGCCAAACCCAUGCCCAGUAGCUACUUCGGUCUCGUGAAGCGGCUGGUCAGCACCUGCCCUCGGCUUGAUGCCGUGAAGCGGUCGGUUUGUAUUGAAGGUGUGCAGAUGGCCUUCGCCCGUGUCAAGGUGUAGUGGGUGAAGAUGGACGUCGUCAAGCUUGAAACCGAGGGACCACCCGCUAGCAAAGAGCACCGCACGCCGGAGCGGUACUUUGAUGAUGUCCUGAAAGGAUCCCACAUUGUAGAGGGCCAAUGUUCGAAGGACAUUAUUUUUGAAUGAAUGUAUCUAUGUUUUCCAAUCCUGUAUCAUGAAACAAGGCUUAUUUAUUAUAUGUUGCUUAUUUUACUUUGAAAUAUCUCCUCCUGUGCGGCUGUUUAUGAUAUCUGAGAGUUGGCCAGUCGUCGGCUUCAGCCCCCACAUAGGUAGUACGGGGGUGUUCGGGAUAACACUUAAACACACUUGACCCAACGUACUGGUCCGUGAAGGAGGUGUUAGUGUGCCGAACCAGGCAAUCAAACUAUGCAGCUUUAUCGCCCUCACUUAGCCAUAGGAGUUUUAUAAUGGGAGUGCAGGCGCAGCCCCUAGUAUUGGUCGAUUAUCUGAACUUGGGUGCUGUAAAUGCCCGGCCGGUCGGAGGCCAGCCUAUCACAUAAUGAGGAAAAAAUCGCAAGAGAUUUAUACUUAGUCACCGAAUAGCUGACCAGCUCUCAACACAUCAUGACAGUCAGUUUUUGGCUUUCUCUACUGAGGUGUUUGUUCGGGUGAACCAGAAACACAAUCGCAGUAGUUCUCGCUUUACUACCCUAGCCGAUCAGACGGAACGUAAGGUAGCAAGCACAGGAGCCGGGCAACCCAACUAUUGACCAAAGACAUGAUUCAGAGCCAAUGCAUAUAAUGCUAUAUUUGGGAUGCCAAAUUGCACUGUUGAAGUGUUCAGACUUUGUUUUAGUAUUUAAAAGAUGUACGCGGCUUAAUAAAGCCCCUGGCAAUUUAGGUCAUACCAAGGUGUACAUGAUAAUCAAAAAAAGACAGGAAAACAUAUGUUAAGAGAGAAGCCAACGCCACGUAGUUUGGGCUAAAAACUAUUUCCAUUAUAGUCUGAUUGAUACGUCAAAACAUAUUGAUACAAAUAGUGCAAUAAGCGACAAGGCUAUUUUACAUGCCGAACACAAGGGGAAGCUGUGCAUGUGUCCUGAAAGCGGAUGAGGUGAUCUUUAAGGAUCCUUUAGGUACUCUAGCACGCGUUUAUGCUUCUUCUCUCCUUGGUAUAUUGUCCUUCGAGAGGAUCAUUGACCGGUGUAAUAGGCCACGGAAAGAGGCCUUGGUACCGUCGAAAGGGUGGUGUGGGUUGUAAGGAACCUGGAAAAAUAAAAAGGAAAGAAAAAGGGAAAUGUGAGCGUCCUGAUAGGGUCUAGCCGUAUUGCUGACAUUGCCCUUAUUAUGCCUCCAUCCUUUCCCAUGGUAUUUUUAGUGCGUAAUUAUGUACGCGUGGUACAUAUGCCAAAAUUUGGUAGGGGAUGAGAUGGAGGCCAAAUUGCUAAUCGAGCUCCUAACGAGCUGGACUAUCAUACAGUGGGGUAGUCCAGACUCGUUUGAUAGUGUCCGAGGACUUGGCCGCCGACGUAAUAGUUGGCUUGAUGAGGCCACCCUGUACUUCCAAUGCUAGGGCCGUGGUGUGCUCCACAGUGCGGAGGGAGCAUUCCAUGUUUCCAUUUACUGUUAUAACUCCGCGUGGUCCGGGCAUCUUGAGUUUGAGAUAGGCGUAGUGCGGGACUGCAUAGAAGCGGGCAAACGUGGUUCAUCCAAGCAGUGCAUGGUAGCCACUACGGAAGGGGACGAUAUCGAAGAUCAAGUCUUCGCUGCGGAAGUUGUUCGGUGAACCUAAGACUACUUCCAAUGUGAUUGAUCCCGUGCAGCGGGCCUCUACACCGGGUAUCACUCCUUUAAAGUUAGUUUUUGUGGGCUUGAUUCUUGACGGAUCAAUACCCAUCUUGCGGAUUGUGUCCUGAUAGAGCAGGUUAAGGCUGCUGCCGCCGUCCAUGAGGACUCGCGUAAGGUGGAAUCCAUCAAUGAUUGGAUCGAGGACUAGUGUGGCCGAACCUCCGUGCCGGAUACUGGUCGGAUGUGUUGGGGAACGUAGCAGAAAUUCAAAAUUUUCCUACGUGUCACCAAGAUCUAUCUAUGGAGAAACCAGUAACGAGGGGAAGGAGAGUGCAUCUACAUACCCUUGUAGAUCGCUAAGCGGAAGCGUUCAAGAGAACGGGGUUGAAGGAGUCGUACUCGUCGUGAUCCAAAUCACCGGAGAUCCUAGUGCCGAACAGAAGGCACCUCCGCGUUCAACACACGUACAGCCCGGUGACGUCUCCCAUGCCUUGAUCCAGCAAGGAGAGAGGGAGAGGUUGAGGAAGACUCCAUCCAGCAGCAGCACAACGGCGUGGUGGUGGUGGAGGAGCGUGGUACUCCAGCAGGGCUUCGCCAAGCAUCGCAAGAGACGAGGAGGGAGAGGGGUAGGGCUGCGCCAAGAAGGAGAGGAACUCGUGUGUGUUGGGCAGCCCAAACCUCAAGUAUAUAUAGGGGGAGGGGAGGGGCUGCGCCCCCACCUAGGGUUCCCUCCCUAGGGGUGGCAGCAGCCCCCAGAUCCCAUCUGGGUGGCGGCCACAAGGGGGAGAGGGGGAGGCGCACCUGGGGUGGGCCUUAGGGCCCAUCUGCCCUAGGGUUUGCCCCCUUCCCUCUUGGAGGCGCCUUGGGCCUUGGUGGGGGGGGGUGCACCAGCCCACCUGGGGCUGGUCCCCUCCCACACUUGGCCCAUGCAGCCCUCCGGGGCUGGUGGCCCCAAUUGGUGGACCCCCGGACCCCUCCGGUGGUCCCGGUACACUACCGGUAAAAACCCGAAACUUUUCCGGUGACCAAAACAGGACUUCCCAUAUAUAAAUCUUUACCUCCGGACCAUUCUGGAAUUCCUCGUGACGUCCGGAAUCUCAUCCGGGACUCCUAACAACAUUCGGUAACCACGUAUAUCUAUUCCCUAUAACCCUAGCGUCAUCGAACCUUAAGUGUGUAGACCCGACGUGUUCGGGAACCAUGCAGACAUGACCGAGACGUUCUCCGGUCAAUAACCAACAGCGGGAUCUGGAUACCCAUGUUGGUUCCCACAUGUUCCAUGAUGAUCUCAUCGAAUGAACCACGAUGUCGAGGAUUCGAUUAAUCCCGUAUACAAUUCCCUUUGUCUAGCGGUAUUGUACUUGCCCGAGAUUCGAUCGUCGGUAUCCCGAUACCUUGUUCAAUCUCGUUACCGGCAAGUCUCUUUACUCGUUCUGUAACACAUCAUCCCGUGAUCAACUCCUUGGUCACAUUGUGCACAUUAUGAUGAUGUCCUACCGAGUGGGCCCAGAGAUACCUCUCCGUCACACGGAGUGACAAAUCCCAGUCUCGAUUCGUGCCAACCCAACAGUCACUUUCGGAGAUACCCGUAGUGCACCUUUAUAGCCACCCAGUUACGUUGUGACGUUUGGCACACCCAAAGUAUUACUACGGUAUCCGGGAGUUGCACAAUCUCAUGGUCUAAGGAAAUGAUACUUGACAUUAGAAAAGCUUUAGCAUACGAACUACACGAUCUUUGUGCUAGGCUUAGGAUUGGGUCUUGUCCAUCACAUCAUUCUCCCAAUGAUGUGAUCCCGUUAUCAACGACAUCCAAUGUCCAUGGUCGGGAAACUGUAACCAUCCAUUGAUCAACGAGCUAGUCAACUAGAGGCUUACUAGGGACAUGGUGUUGUCUAUGUAUCCAUACAUGUAUCUGAGUUUCCUAUCAAUACAAUUCUAGCAUGGAUAAUAAACGAUUAUCAUGAACAAGGAAGUAUAAUAAUAACUAAUUUAUUAUUGCCUCUAGGGCAUAUUUCCAACAGUCUCCCACUUGCACUAGAGUCAAUAAUCUAGUUCACAUCGCCAUGUGAUUAACACUCACAGGUCACAUCGCCAUGUGACCAACAUCCAAAGAGUUUACUAGUGUCACUAAACUAGUUCACAUCAUCAUGUGAUUAAGACUCAAUGAGUUCUGGGGUUUGAUCAUGUUUUGCUUGUGAGAGAGGUUUUAGUCAACGGGUCUACAACAAUCAGAUCCGUAUGUACUUUGCAAAUUUCUAGGUCAUAUUAUAAAUGCUGCUUCCACGCUCCACUUGGAGCUAUUCCAAAUGGUUGCUCCACUAUACGUAUCCGGUUUGCUACUCAGAGUCAUUCGGAUAGGUGUUAAAGCUUGCAUCGAUGUAACCCUUUACGCCGAACUCUUUAUCACCUCCAUAAUUGAGAAACAUGUCCUUAUUACUCCAAGGAUAAUUUUGACCGCUAUCUAGUGAUCCACUCCUGGAUCACCUUUGUACCCUCUUGCCAGACAUGUGGCAAGGCACACACCAGGUGCGGUACUCAGCAUGGCAUACCGUAUAGAGCCUAUGACAAAAGCAUAGGGGACGACAUUCGUCCUUUCUCUUUCUUCUGCCGUGGUCGAGCUUUAAGUCUUAACUUCAUACCUUACAACUCAGGCAAGAACUCCUUCUUUGAGAUCAUGUCAAGGUAUGUGCUCAUUUGAAAGUACCAUUAAGUGUUUUGAUCUAUCCUUAUAGAUCUUGAUGCUCAAUGUUCAAGUAGCUUAAUCCAAGCUUUCCAUUGAAAAACACUUUCCAAAUAACCCUAUAUGCUUUCCAGAAAUUCUACGUCAUUUUUUAUCAACAAUAUGUCAACAACAUAUAUUCAUCAGAAAUUCUAUAGUGCUCCCACUCACUUCUUUGGAAAUACAAGUUUCUCAUAAACUUUGUAUACACCCAAAAUCUUUGAUCAUCUCAUCAAAGCAUACAUUCCAACUCCGAGAUGCUUACUCCAGUCCUUAGAAGGAUUGCUGGAGCUUUGCAUACUUAUUAGCAUCUUUCAGGAUUGACAAAACCUUCCGGUUGUAUCACAUACAACCUUUCCUCAAGAAAAUCAUCGAGGAAACAAUGUUUUGACAUCCUAUCUACAAGAUUUCAUAAAUAAUGCAGUAAUCGCUAAUAUAAUUCCAACAGACUCUUAGCAUCGCUACGAGUGAGAAAGUCUCAUCGUAGUCAACUCCUUGAACUUGUCGGGAAAAAUCUUAACGACAAGUCGAGCUUUCUUAAUGGUGAUACUUACCAUCAUUGUCCGUCUUCCUUUUAAAAUCCAUCUAUACUCAACAGCCUUACGACCAUCGAGCCGUUCUGCCAAAGUCUACACUUUGUUUUCAUACAUGGAUCCUCUCUCGGAUUUUAUAGCCUCGAGCCAUUUAUUGGAAUCCGGGCCCACCAUCGCUUCUCCAUAGCUCGUAGGUUCAUUGUUGUCUAGCAACAUGACUUCCAAGACAGGAUUACGUACCACUCUGAAGUAGUACGCAUCCUUGUCAUCCCACGAGGUUUGUUAGUGACUUGAUCUGAAGUUUCAUGAUCACUAUCAUAAGCUUCCACUUCAAUUGGUGUAGGUGCCACAGGAACAACUUCAUGUGCCCUGCCACACACUAGUUGAAGAGACGGUUCAAUAACCUCAUCAAGUCUCCACCAUCCUCCCACUCAAUUCUUUCGAGAGAAACUUUUCCUCGAGAAGGGACCCGAUUCUAGAAACAAUCCCUUAUUGCUUUAGGAUCUGAGACAGGAGGUAUACCCAACUAUUUUGGGUGUCCUAUGAAGAUGCAUUUAUCCGCUUUGGGUUCAAGCUUAUCAGCCUGAAACUUUUUCACAUAAGCGUCGCAGCCCCAAUCUUUUAAGAAAUGACAGCUUAGGUUUCUCUAAACCAUAGUUCAUACGGUGUCAUCUCAUCGGAAUUACGUGGUGCCCUAUUUAAAGUGAAUGUGGUUGUCUCUAAUGCCUAACCCAUAAACUAUCGUGGUAAUUCGAUAAGAGACAUCAUGGAAUGCAUCAUAUCCAAUAGGGUGCAGUUAUGAUGUUCGAACACACCAUCACACUAUGGUGUUCCAGGCUGUAUUAGUUGUGAAACAAUUUCCACAAUGUCUUAAUUCUGUGCCAAACUCGUAAUUCAGAUAUUCAUCUCUAUGAUCAUAUCAUAGAUAUUUUAUCCUCUUGUCACGACGAUCUUUCAACUUCACCUUGAAAUUACUUGAACCUUUCAAUAAUUCAGACUCGUGAUUCAUCAAGUAAAUAUACUCAACAUCUACUCAAAUCAUUUGUGAAGUAAGAACAUAACGAUAUCCACUGCACGCCUCAGCACUCAUUGGACUGCACACAUCAAAAUGUAUUACUUUCAGCAAGUUGCUUUCUAGUUCCAUUUUACUAAAAACGAGGCUUUCAGUCAUCUUGCCCAUGUGGUAUGAUUUGCAUGUCUCAAGUGAUUCAAAACCAAGUGAGUCCAAACGGUCCAUUUGCAUGGAGUUUCUUCAUGCAUAUAUACCAAUAGACAUGGUUCGCAUGUCUCAAACUCUUUCAAAAAUGAGUGAGUCCAAAGAUCCAUCAACAUGGAGCUUCUUCAUGCGUUUUAUACCAAUAUGACUCAAAUUGCAGUGCCACAUUUGUGUGGUACUAUCAUUACUAUCUUAUACAUUUGGCAUGAAAAUGUGUAUCACUACGAUCAGGAUGGUAUUAUUCAAAUAAACAGAGUAACCAUUAUUCUCCUUAAAUGAAUAACCGUAUCGCGACAGACAUAAUCCAAUUAUGUCUAUGCUCAAUGCAAACACCAAAUAACAAUUAUUUAGGUUUUAAUACCAAUCUCGAUGGUAGAGGGAGCGUACGAUAUUUGAUCAACCUUGGAAAUACUUCCAACACAUAUCAUCAUCUCACCUUUUAGCUAGUCUCCGUUUAUUCCGUAGCUUUUAUUUUGAGUUACUAACACUUAGCAACCGAACCGGUAUCUAAUACCCUGGUGCUACUAGGAGUACUAGUAACGUACACAUUAACAUAAUGUAUAUCCAAUAUACUUCUAUCGACAGCCUUCUCAUCUACCAAGUAUCUAGGGUAAUUCUGGUCCGGUGGUUGUUCCCCUUAUUACAGAAUCACUCAGUCCCGGGUUUGGGUUCAACCUUGGGUUUCUCCACUAGAGCAGCAGCUGUUUUGCCGUUUCAUGAAGUCUCCCUUCUUGCCCUUGCCCUUCUUGAAACUAGUGGUUUCACUAACCAUCAACAAUUGAUGCUCCUUCUUGAUUUCUACUUUCGUGGUGUCAAACAUCACGAAUAUCUCAAGGAUCAUCAUAUAUGUCCCUGAUAUAUUAUAGUUUAUCACGAAGCUCUAGCAGCUUGGUGGUAAUGACUUUGGAGAAACAUCACUAUCUCAUCUGGAAGAUCAACUCCCACUUGAUUCAAAUGAUUGUUGUACUCAGACAAUCUGAGCACAAGCUCGACAAUUGAGCUUUUCUCCCUUAGUUUGCAGGCUAAGAAAAUCGUCGGAGGUCUUAUACCUCUUGACGUGGGCACGAGCCUGAAAUCCCAAUUCAGCCCUCGAAACAUCUCAUAUGUUUCACGGCGUUUCAAAAACGUCUUCGGUGCCUCAACUCUAAACCGUUUAACUGAACUAUCACAUAGUUAUCAAAAUGUGUAUGCCAGAUGUUCGCAACAUCCACAGACGACGUUCGAGGUUCAGCACACUGAGCGGUGCAUUAAGGACAUAAGCCUUCUAUGAAGCAAUGAGGACAAUCCUCAGUUUACGGACCUAGUCCGCAUAAUUGCUACUAUCAUCUUUCAACUAAAUUUUCUCUAGGAACAUAUCUAAACAGUAGAACUGAAGCGCGAGCUACGACAUAAUUUGCGAAGACCUUUUUGACUAUGUUCAGGAUAAUUAAGUUCAUAUUAUGAACUCCCACUCAGAUAGACAUCCCUCUAGUCAUCUAAGUGAUUACAUGAUCCGAGUCAACUAGGCCGUGUCCGAUCAUCACGUGAGACGGACUAGUCAACAUCGGUGAACAUCUUCAUGUUGAUCGUAUCUUCUAUACGACUCAUGUUCGACCUUUCGGUCUUCUGUGUUCCGAGGCCAUGUCUGUACAUGCUAGGCUCGUCAAGUCAACCUAAGUGUUUCGCAUGUGUCCCGAGGCCAUGUCUGUACAUGCUAGGCUCGUCAACACCCGUUGUAUUCGAACGUUAGAAUCUAUCACACCCGAUCAUCACGUGGUGCUUCGAAACAACGAACUGUCGCAAUGGUGCACAGUUAGGGGGAACACUUUCUUGAAAUUAUUAUGAGGGAUCAUCUUAUUUACUACCGUCAUUCUAAGUAAACAAGAUGCAAAAACAAGAUUAACAUCACAUGAAAUCAAAUAAUGACAUGAUAUGGCCAAUAUCAUAUUGCUCCUUUUGAUCUCCAUCUUCGGGGCUCCAUGAUCAUCAUCGUCACCGGCAUCACACCAUGAUCUCCAUCAUCAUGAUCUCCAUCAUUGUGUCUCCAUGAAGUUGUCUCGCCAACUUAUUACUUCUACUACUAUGGCUACCGGUUAGCAAUAAAGUAAAGUAAUUACAUGGCGUUGUUCAAUGACACGCAGGUCAUACAAUAAAUAAAGACAACUCCUAUGGCUCCUGCCGGUUGUCAUACUCAUCGACAUGCAAGUCGUGAUUCCUAUUACAAGAACAUGAUCAAUCUCAUACAUCACAUAUCAUUCAUCACAUUCUUCUUGGCCAUAUCACAUCACAUAGCAUACCCUGCAAAAACAAGUUAGACGUCCUCUAAUUGUUGUUUGCAUGUUUUACGUGGCUGCUAUGGUUUUCUAGCAAGAACGUUUCUUACCUACGCAAAACCACAACGUGAUAUGCCAAUUGCUAUUUACCCUUCAUAAGGACCCUUUUCAUCGAAUCCGAUCCGACUAAAGUGGGAGAGACAGACACCCUCUAGCCACCUUAUGCAACUAGUGCAUGUCAGUCGGUGGAACCAGUCUCACGUAAGAGUACGUGUAAGGUCGGUCCGGGCCGCUUCAUCCCACAAUGCCGCCGAAUCAAGAUUGGACUAGUAACGGUAAGCAUAUUGAACAAAAUCAAUGCCCACAACUACUUUGUGUUCUACUCGUGCAUAGAAACUACGCAAUAGACCUAGCUCAUGAUGCCACUAUUGGGGAAUGUAGCAGAAAUUCAAAAUUUUCCUACGUGUCACCAAGAUCUAUCUAUGGAGAAACCAGCAACGAGGGGAAGGAGAGUGCAUCUACAUACCCUUGUAGACCGCUAAGCGGAAGCGUUCAAGAGAACGGGGUUGAAGGAGUCGUACUCGUCGUGAUCCAAAUCACCGGAGAUCCUAGUGCCGAACGGACGACACCUCCGCGUUCAACACACGUACAGCCCGGUGACGUCUCCCAUGCCUUGAUCCAGCAAGGAGAGAGGGAGAGGUUGAGGAAGACUCCAUCCAGCAGCAGCACAACGGUGUGGUGGUGGUGGAGAGCGUGGUACUCCAGCAGGGCUUCGCCAAGCAUCGCAAGAGAUGAGGAGGGAGAGGGGUAGGGCUGCGCCAAGAAGGAGAGGAACUCGUGUGUGUUGGGCAGCCCAAACCUCAAGUAUAUAUAGGGGGAGGGGAGGGGCUGCGCCCCCACCUAGGGUUCCCUCCCUAGGGGUGGCGGCAGCCCCCAGAUCCCAUCUGGGUGGCACCACAAGGGGGAGAGGGGGAGGCACACCUGGGGUGGGCCUUAGGGCCCAUCUGCCCUAGGGUUUGCCCCCUUCCCUCUUGGAGGCGCCUUGGGCCUUGGUGGGGGGGGCGCACCAGCCCACCUGGGGCUGGUCCCCUCCCACACUUGGCCCAUGCAGCCCUCUGGGGCUGGUGGCCCCACUUGGUGGACCCCCGGACCCCUCCGGUGGUCCCGGUACACUACUGGUAAAAACCCGAAACUUUUCCGGUGACCAAAAUAGGACUUCCCAUGUAUAAAUCUUUACCUCCGGACCAUUCCGGAAUUCCUAGUGACGUCCGGGAUCUCAUCCCGGACUCCGAACAACAUUCGGUAACCACGUAUAUCUAUUCCCUAUAACCCUAGCGUCAUCGAACCUUAAGUGUGUAGACCCGACGUGUUCGGGAACCAUGCAGACAUGACCGAGACGUUCUCCGGUCAAUAACCAACAGCGGGAUCUGGAUACCCAUGUUGGUUCCCACAUGUUCCACGAUGAUCUCAUCGGAUGAACCACGAUGUCGAGGAUUCGAUUAAUCCCGUAUACAAUUCCCUUUGUCUAGCGGUAUUGUACUUGCCCGAGAUUCGAUCCUCGGUAUCCCGAUACCUUGUUCAAUCUCGUUAUCGGCAAGUCUCUUUACUCGUUCCGUAACACAUCAUCCCGUGAUCAACUCCUUGGUCACAUUGUGCACAUUAUGAUGAUGUCCUACCGAGUGGGCCCAGAGAUACCUCUCCGUCACACGGAGUGACAAAUCCCAGUCUCGAUUCGUGCCAACCCAACAGACACUUUCGGAGAUACCCGUAGUGCACCUUUAUAGCCACCCAGUUACGUUGUGACGUUUGGCACACCCAAAGUAUUCCUACUAGAGGCUUACUAGGGACAUGGUGUUGUCUAUGUAUCCACACAUGUAUCUGAGUUUCCUAUCAAUACAAUUCUAGCAUGGAUAAUAAACGAUUAUCAUGAACAAGGAAGUAUAAUAAUAACUAAUUUAUUAUUGCCUCUAGGGCAUAUUUCCAACAGGAUGGUCCCUGUGAUCGAAGGUGAUCGGACAGGCCGACCAUGGACUGAAUUUUGGGGCGCCUGGCUCUAUCGCAUAGAUGUCCCUUAGCGCGCGCUUGCACUCCCUCUUGGGGAUAUGGGUGACGUAUAUCAUAUUGACCGUUUUGACUUCGGGGGGAAAUUUCUUCUGACCCCCUGUUUUCGGUGUGCGAGGUUCCUCGUCGUCAUCCUCACUGGGCGACCCUUUCUCCUUAUGUUCGGCAUUUAACUUGUCGGCCUGUUUGAAGACCCAACAACUUCUAUUGGUGUGGUUGGCAGGCUUAUCAGGAGUGCCGUGGAUCUGGCAGGGUCGAUCAAGUAUUCGGUCCAGGCUUGAUGAACCGUCUUUGUUUCGUUUAAAUGGCUUCUUCCGUUCACUAGAUUUGGAGCCACUGAAUCUGGCGCUGACUACCAUAUUCUCUGUAUCAUCAUUGUUGCUCCGACGCUUAUGUUUGUUGCGUCGGGGCCUUCCAUUGUUGUUUCGGGCUUCGGAAGUGCCAGGGUCGCUGGUAUUGUUACCGCUACGGGCUAGCCAGCUAUCCUCGCCCACGCAGAAGCGGGUCAUUAGUGCUAUAAGGGCCGCCAUGGACUUCGGCUUUUCUUGGCCGAGGUGUCGGGCGAGCCAUUCGUCGUGGAUGCUGUGUUUGAAGGCCGCUAGGGCUUCAGCGUCCGGACAGUCGACAAUUUGGUUCUUUUUAAUUAGGAACCUGGUCCAGAAUUUCCUGGCCGACUCUCCGGGCUGUUGGACUAUAUGACUGAGGUCAUCAGCAUCCGGAGGCCGGACAUAAGUGCCUUGGAAGUUGUCUCUAAAGGCAUAUUCCAAAUCGUCCCAGCUUCCAAUAGAGUUUUCUGGGAGGCUGUUUAACCAGUGCCUAGCUGGCCCUUCAAGUUUUAGGGGAAGGUAUUUGAUGGCGUGUAGAUCAUCACCGCGAGCCACGUGAAUGUGGAGAAGAAAUAUUCAAUUCGUACUGCGGGAUCUGUUGUGUUGUCGUAUGAUUCGAUGUUCAUGGGUUUAAACCCUUCAUGGAACUCAUGCUCCAUUACCUCAUGGUGAAGCAUAGGGGGUGUGCGGCGCCUCUGUAUCGGGCCAUGUCACGACGUAGUUAGGAUGGAGUCCGUAUGCGGUUUUCAGCCCGGGGUUGGUUGUGUUUAUCCCACCAGGCUUGAUAGCCCGCCUCUCACGCCGGAGCACGCCCCCGUGAUCCGUAGAUUGACCUGGUCUGGCCUGCCCUAUUUUCUAGGUCCUGUCGUAGGUCGUAUGUGUAUCCCCGAGUUGUUGUUUCUCUGCUUUUACGGCGAGGUGGUGCGGGCUGGUGUUCGGCUUGAGUUGUCAUUUUGUCCUGGACACGUGGUGGUCUAUCGGGUCCGUCAGCCGCAUUACGCACGGGUGGUAUGGGCUCCAAUGCCUCAUCAUCGAAUUGGGGUAACAACUUAUGCUUUGGGUAACUCUUUACUCGGCGUUCAAGGCCGUAUUCUUCGUCUGCCAGGAUGUUAGUCCAUCUGUCGUUGAGCAGGUCUUGGUCAGCUUGAAGCUUCUGCUGUUUCUUUCUUAGGCUUCUAGCCGUGGCUAUUAGUCGGCGCUUGAAGCGCUCUUGUUCGAGGGGUUCCUUUGGCAUGAUAAAAUCUUCGUCGACGAGGCUUACGUCAUCCUCGGAGAGUGGCAGAUAGUUGCUGUCCUCCGAGUCAUUGUUCCCUGUUUGUUCGUCGGGGUCAACUUGCCCGUCCUCCCGAUCAUCCUGUUCGGAUGUUGGUUCGAUGGGGUCUUCUUGGUCUUCGGCAUUCUCCGGAGUAUCAUUGUCUUUGGUGCCGGUAUUGCUGUUCUUACCGCGAUGCGAUUUAGAGCGGCGCCGCUGACAUCGAUGUUUCGGCGGUAUCUCAGGAGGUUCGUCCUCGACUGGGUUUUUCUCAUCAUCGUCGUCGCCGUUUUUAGGUGUAUCCACCAUGUAUACGUCAUACGAGGAGGUGGCCGUCCAACGUCUGGUGACCGGGUUUUUUUUGGCCUACUCCUCUCCGGCAUCGUCGUCCAUACCAUCGAUGUCUUCGGAGGCGUAAUCAAGCAUGUCGGUUAAGUCCUCAAUAGUGGCUAUGAACUGGGUGGUGGGUGGGAAGUAAAAUUCCCUAUUUCCAUCCCCUAGUCCGGGCUGGGCGUGAUUCAGAAGCGGUUCCUCUGUGAUGACGAGGGAUUGCAUUAAGUCUAGAACCUCGUUUAAGAGUGGGGUUUGGACGGGGUCGGAAGUUUCUGGGCCGAGCUUGCAUGACGCGGGCCUCCAGGGUUCGGAAUUAGUGUCCGGAGAAGAGUCCUACUUUGCAAUGAUUUCCGGAGACGCUAUUCUCUCUAGUUUUCCGGUGUUGAGCUCUAAGGACACAGAGAGUCCGGCGGGCUCUAGACUCCCGUCUUCGGACCUGAUGACGCGCUCUGGAUCUAAGGCCGGAGCGAACUCUUGGAAGAUCAAGCCUCCUCAAAUAUCAGCGACAUAGUUUAGAUUUCCAAAACUGAUCUGGUGACCAGGGGCGUAGCUGUCGAUCUGCUCCAGGUGGCCAACCGAGUUGGCCCGUAGUGCGAAGCCGCCGAAUACAAAGAUCUGUCCAGGGAGAAAAUCUCCUUCACGGCGGCGUUGUUGUAGAUGAUUGAUGGAGCCAUCGAGUCUUUCGACGACGGCACAAUGGAACUCUCAAUGAAAGCACCAAUGUCGGUGUCAAAACCGACAGAUCUCGGGUAGGGGGUCCCGAACUGUGCGUCUAAGGAUCGAUGGUAACAGGAGACAGGGACACGAUGUUUACCCAGGUUCGGGCCCUCUUGAUGGAGGUAAUACCCUACGUCCUGCUUGAUUGACUUUGAUGAGUAUGGGGGUUACAAGAGUUGAUCUACCACGAGAUCGUAAUGGCUAAACCCUAGAUGUCUAGCCUAUAUGAUUAUGAUUGUGAUUGCCUCCACGGACUAAACCCUCCGGUUUAUAUAGACACCGGAGGGGACUAAAGUUUGUACAGGGUCGGUUUAUAGAAAAGGAAUCUUCAUAUCUGUACGCCAAGCUUGCCUUCCACGCCAAGGAGAGUUCCAUCCGGACACAGGGGAAAGUCUUCCAUCUUAUAUCUCCACGGCCCACUAGUCCGCCCCAUAUCACAUAGCCCAGACGCCCGAGGACCCCAUAAUCCUGGACUCCCUCAGUGUGGGUUCAUCUAACAAGAAUGCAACAAGUUACGUGCCACCCUUGAGAGCAUCCAAGGCCGUCUCAUGAGUGGCCUAGGCGUGAGCGACAUGGCAUACAAUUUCUUCUCUCUAUCCAUAUGUCUUUUCAUGUUUGUUGCAUUGUGUCCUUCACUAUUACUUUGUUGCCAUCACUUGUAUUUGUAGGCAUUCCAAGCUUUGGAAGCCUUCAUGGCCCAACAUGGGAACAAGUCAUUCACCAUCACCCAUUAUUGGACGAUCAUUUGCAAUUGCCCCAAGUUUGAGGAGCAAUAUGCCGCCCAAAAGAAGAAGGGAGGGCCGACGGUCAUGGUUGAGCAUGAAGAAGGGGAGAAGCGGCCGAGGGGCAAGACCAACUCCAAGGUGGAUGAGAAGCAUGAUGCGGCGACAUUUACCUUACAAGAAAUUUUGUAAGGCAUGGUGACCCAAAAGGAAGCAAGGGAGGAGAGAAAGUGCCAAGCGAAACAGAAACAAAUGAAGGUCUACAUCAAGCUACAAAUGAAGAAACUCGAGAUGGAGGAGGCCGUUCAAAAGAAGAAGUUCAAGAUGGAGGAGGCCGUCGAAAUGAAGAAGUUCGAGAUUGAAGCGACCAAAGCAAAGACCGGAGCAAAAGAGGUGGCGCUCACUUGCAUGUCGGAGGAGGUGGAAAUCAUGAAGGUAGACCUGAGCGAGGUGUCCCUGAGGAGAAGGCCAUGGUUCUUGAAUAAGCAAAAAGAAUUUCUCGAGCUCGAUGAUUGAGCUAUGGCCGAGAGCACCACCAUUUUGUAUGCUGGCUUGUGUAUCGGCCUGAACUAGGGACCAUGAAUGGCCCUUUUUUAAGCGCUCGCAAGUGUACCGACCACUGGCAAGUGUGUCAGCGUAAACUUGAGGCAUUUUUUGUAGGUUGACAUGUAUGUCGGUCGCUGCCGCUCUGGCUAACAUGACUAGUUUUUAUGUUCGUAGCAAAUGGUUCUGGCGGACGCACGAAAUGCGACAUUAUACUUAGAUGUGAGGUAGAUAUAUACGGAUCCUAUUUUCUAAAAAAAACACUUUCCCUUACAAAGUGAGACCUUUGCACAUGUCGUGGGGAAUCCGAGUGAUUUCGAGGUCUUUGAGGAAAGCGGGAAAAGGGUAGCGACCGUAAUGGGGUGGAAGUGCGUGCGUCCUUGCGUGGAUCUGGAGUGGAAAGAGGCAGUUCCUGGGUUCCUGCCGCACCGCACCGCACCCGUCCAAGCGCAACCGUCUCGUUGGACGUCCCCAGAUCCGACCCUCUCGACCCGGCCACCCCCACCCGAGGCAGAGACCGCGGCCGCCACUGGCCCAUCCCCACAUACCACACACGUAUCCCCACCUCCUCAGAUCCGAGCGCCAUGGCCGCCCACCCCCACCCGCAUUGCUAUGCCCACCGCUAGCGCCUCCAUGGCCGCCGCCGCCUCCUGCCGGAGCCCGCUCGUCUGGUUCUUCUCCCUCGCCGCCGCGCUCUUCUUCGCUUCCUGGUACCUCCUCCUCGACUCCGCCGCCGCCCCGGCCGCGCUCGAUGCCCGCCGCCAGGGCCUCCGCCCGGCCUCUCCAGGCAGAAAAUGCGAUCCGGAUAAGGCGCUGCUGCGCGUCUACAUGUACGACCUGCCCCUUGAGUUCCACUUCGGCAUGCUCGACUGGGAGCCCGGGAGCGGCGGUGGCGGCCUUUGGCCGGAUGUCAGGCACGGCGUGCCGGAGUACCCCGGAGGGCUCAACCUGCAGCACAGCAUCGAGUACUGGCUCACGCUGGACCUCCUCGCCUCCGAGCAGGGCGCGCCCACGCCGUGCAACGCCGUCCGGGUGCGCGACCCCGCCAGGGCCGACGUCGUCUUCGUGCCCUUCUUCGCCUCCCUCAGCUUCAACCGCCACUCCAAGGUCGUGCCGCCCGCGCGGACCAGCGAGGACCGGGCGCUGCAGCGGAGGCUGAUCGAGUUCCUCGCCGCGCGGCCCGAGUGGCGGAGGUCCGGCGGAAGGGACCACGUCGUGCUCGCGCACCACCCCAACGGGAUGCUCGACGCGCGCUACAAGCUCUGGCCCUGCGUCUUCGUGCUCUGCGACUUCGGGAGGUACCCACACAGCGUGGCCAACAUCGACAAGGACGUCAUCGCCCCGUACCGCCAUGUCGUCGACAACUUCUUCAAUGACUCCACCGGCUACCACGACCGGCCGACCUUACUCUACUUCCAAGGCGCCAUUUACAGGAAAGAUGUGAGUACCCUUUGAUGAAAGCUUACUUGUUUUAGCUUAAGCAGGGAAUUAAGAUCGUGGUGUGAUUAGUCAACUUCCAUUUUUAAUAAUGUAGCUAUUGGUUUUAAAACUUGCUUUGCAUGUGUCGUUCCCUACAUAGAUUUCAGAAUGUUUGCCAUGUACUGGUCUGUAGCACGAUUUGCUAUUUAACCGAUUUAAGUUUUAGUCAGUAGCACGAUCCUAAACUAGCACGACCUCAUCUGUAGUCUGGAGUCUGGACACCCUCCGUGGUACUUGAUUUGGACUUCAAUGAUUCUGGCUACGGGAAAUAUCGUAGUUGCAAAUAAUUGCCAUUGGCAUUGCCUUGUUCACUAUCCAGCUGAGUUUGGUUGGCUCGUCUUGCUCAUUAAUCCAGCUCACUUUGGUAUGCUAUCACUUCUUUCAUGUGACUGUUACCUACUCCCUCCGUUCGGAAUUACUUGUCUUGGAUAUGGAUGUAUCUAGAACUAAAAUACAUCUAGAUACAUCCAUUUCUGCCACAAGUAAUUCCGAACGGAGGGAGUACUUAUAAGCCCCGUUUAUGUUAUAGCUCUAGUGAGUCGCUUUAAUACUUAAGAGGUUCUAUAAUCUGAUAAGGAUGAGAAUCCAAAAUUGUGAUUGUCGCUUUCACACAUUUGUGGCAGUAGUGUAUAAUAUGGUUUAUUAAGCAAGAUAUAUGAAUUAUUGACUGUCUGAAAACCAAGGUCCUGAGAAUGUAUGAUCUAUGUGAAAUAUUGAUGAUUCUCAUGGUUGUGAUCUUUUGAAUCACAACCUUGCAGGGUGGUUUCAUCCGACAGGAACUUUACUAUCUUCUCAAAGAUGAGAAAGAUGUGCACUUCUCAUUUGGAAGUGUGGCUGGUAAUGGGAUUGAGGAAUCGACACGGGGUAUGAGGGCAUCCAAAUUCUGCCUCAACAUUGCAGGGGAUACGCCAUCCUCCAACCGUCUAUUCGAUUCCAUAGUCAGUCACUGUGUGCCCGUCAUUAUCAGCGAUGAGAUUGAACUCCCAUUUGAAGAUAUCCUUGACUACUCCAAGUUCUGCAUCAUAGUGCGUGGUGCAGAUGCUGUCAAGAAGGGCUUUCUGAUAAAUCUGAUCAAAGGGGUAAGCCCAGAAGAGUGGACAAGCAUGUGGAACAAACUGAGGGAGGUAGAAGGGCACUUUGAAUACCAGUACCCAUCUCAGCCUGACGAUGCUGUCCAGAUGAUCUGGAAGACCAUAGCUCGAAAGGUGCCCUCAAUUCGGCUGAAGGUCAACAGAUUACAAAGAUUUUCUCGGUCUGAAGCUAACAAAACAAACGAUUCUCCAGCAAGAUCUUCCUGGCUAGAAAAUCAAACUCUCCCAGCUGGUUUUCAGUCCUCUGCGAGAGGAGAGUGCCCAUAGUGAAGCUGAGCUUGAACCUCAAAGCCGGGAGCGACAGCUACAGGAGAUUAAUGGAGUAAAGUACUCCUGAUACAGAUUACCACCACAAUAUUACAGAUCCGAGGGCCCGAUUUUUGUUCUCCUCCAAUUUUCAUCGAAGAUGUGCUCAACCGUGUCGAUUAGGGACAAUAACUUUUUGUAUCAGAAUCUGUAUAUCCUAGGCAGUAGCGUGAUUACUGAUCAUUUCCACUCUAGUCUUAUACUACUUCACAGCUGUAACUCCCCAUUCUCAGAGCAAGAGUUUUU
rnacentral:lncRNA from 1 species